rnacentral:rRNA from 1 species
CAACAUGAGAGUUUGAUUCUGGCUCAGAACGAACGCUGGCGGCAGGCUUAACACAUGCAAGUCGAACGAGAAGCUUACUUCGGUAAGUGGAAAGUGGCAGACGGGUGAGUAACGCGUGGCAACCUACCUUUUUCUACGGAACAACAGUUGGAAACGACUGCUAAUACCGUAUACGCCCUACGGGGGAAAGAUUUAUCGGUGAAAGAUGGGGCCGCGUUAGAUUAGCUAGUUGGUGAGGUAAUGGCUCACCAAGGCGACGAUCUAUAGCUGGUCUGAGAGGAUGAUCAGCCACACUGGGACUGAGACACGGCCCAGACAACUACGGUUGGCAGCAGUGGGGAAUAUUGGACAAUGGGGGCAACCCUGAUCCAGCCAUGCCGCGUGAAUGAUGAAGGCCUUAGGGUUGUAAAAUUCUUUCGCUAGGGAUGAUAAUGACAGUACCUAGUAAAGAAGCCCCGGCUAACUCCGUGCCAGCAGCCGCGGUAAUACGGAGGGGGCUAGCGUUGUUCGGAAUUACUGGGCGUAAAGCGUGCGUAGGCGGAUUAUUAAGUUAGGGGUGAAAUCCCGGGGCUCAACCUCGGAACUGCCUCUAAAACUGGUAAU